rnacentral:lncRNA from 1 species
CUCGACCUAGCGAGAUUCAAGUCUAUUUAGUGUGGUAAGUCGAUUCACUAUUUAUGCUAGUGGUUCAAUGAUCGGAUUAAUUAACUAUAUUAAUACAUGGGUUCUUUUAUCAGUAGCAUAUGCAUUGUGAUUGUCUUAGAUAAUUGCUAUAAUGUCUCGUCUAUGCGGUGUGGGUGUGGGCAUAAUUAUGAAAUAGGCGUAUUAUAAUUAGGUGGAAAAGCAAACUAGAGCAACACUUACUGUGUGUAUAAUGCAUUGCCUUAGUUACUUGUAAUGCUAUAGUCGUAUUUUGCAAUUAUUAAGCAUAUAUAUUGUUAGGUGUGAUAUCGUGUUUGAAUUGCAGGUUUGGGUGAAAAGUGCAUCGAUAGGCUAGUGGGUAUUGCUAAAAUGUACCAUAUCAUGCAUUAGUGUGAUUAUGUGCAUACUUGUAAUGUAGUCGCUUUGUAUGAUAAAACCUAAGUAUGAUAAAACCUAAGUUUAAGAUAUAAAUUAUGCGAGGAAUGAUUUAAUAGAUUACUAUGUCUAAAAUAAUUGAGUUAGCCUUAUAAAUGCGGAAUUUGACGCUUUAGGUAGGCAAAGAAUGUUUUGGUAAACAAGUAUACGAAGGACAACUUUAGUGAUUCAACUGUCUAGCCAAUAAAUGCAAUUAGGCGAUUUAAGCCCCUUUGUUUCUAAGUGUAGUAACCUAUCAAUGUUGUGCUCUAAGUAUGUUAGGACUUGUAUAUUGUUAUUGUUCUUGAUGUUUGAGUUAGAUCUAGUUAAGAUAGAGAGGGUGAUUGUUGUAUUCAGUAAUAUGUCGAUACUAGUAUCAUGAGUGUUGUAAUACAUCUCACCAUUAGUGUUUAAUUCUUCACUGUGUAAAAUCGUAAUAUUAUCUUGCGAUAUUCGUCUUGAUAUUCAUACAUGUGCAUUGUGCAUCCCAUGAGGUACGUUAAUUAAUCACGUGAUCCGGAGGACCAAAGCUGAGUCGACCACAAGAGGCUGGAAAGCGUGAGCCACUCGCAAGGUGAUGCUGUUGGAUCCACCUGAAGAUGGAUAGGCUGAACAAGUGCCAACACAAAAGGCUGUUCGCCAAGUGGUAGCCACCUAACAAACACUAACCUAGUGUUAUUCCAGGUAAGCCCUGGUGGAUUUACACCUUCCUUGUUGUUUUAAACUCUUAUUCACUUGAGAUGACGCAUUAGGUGAUAGGAGUUGUGUGUUAAACAAUUGCUGCAUUUCCUUCCUUGGAACUGAUUACCAUUCCUUGAUACCUGUUUUACUUAAAAGUUUUCUGAUGCUUAGUCUUGCCUUAGACAACAAAAUGUUUUAUUUUAAACAAAGAUGAUGCUUCAUAUGGGAUGGGAAGUUUUCAAAGAAAAGACUUGAUGGUGAAUCCAUCAUGGCCAUGAUGGGUUCAACAUCUGAAAAGAUGUACCUCUGUCAGGUACCAAACUUUGGGUUGUAAAUGAUAAAGACGAGACCGGGCGGGUGACUUGCACGAGAAGAGAGUCUCGGUGUAGUGUCACCGUCUGAGUCGAUUAAGGAUCGUGUCGAUGUGGGUCUGCUGACCGAGGACCCUUUAACCGGUCACAUGCUUCAUCAUGGGUAAGCUUUGCCUCAGUCAGACCAAUACCAGAAAGGCCACCACGCAAUGAGAGUGGAGAGAUGGCGAGAGUAGCAUGUACCCUCCGUGGCAAGAGGCUGGACGGUGGUGUAUCUGUGCUCUCGGUUGGCGUGAACCCGUUCUAGUCUUGAGAAACCCGGUGGCGAGUUGACAUAUGCAAGGGUUAAGUGCUACAUAUGUCGUGUGGUUAGAGAUACCCAGCUGGGUAUUAAUCGAUUCGGAUCGCCAUUAUUUCUCGGACAUGAAGACUUGGUCACUGACUUACACGUAGCAAUCCAGUGAACUGAAGGGCUGAUAAAAAGACGGCUAGUAUAGGCCAAGUGUUUGAACUAGGACUGAAAGAACUCUAGAUGCAGGUAACUUUACUUAACCUGACAAGUAAAAUGAAUUCUUAAGGAUCCAUUCAUAGUAAGCUUUUCUGCAAAAGAGUCUUUGAAUCUUGUUAAACUUUACCUUGAUUCCCAAAAGCCAGCAUAUCCUUGAGAGUUUUUUUCCUUAGACGGGUAAGACUUGCGAAAGUAAACUUCGUACUCAGGAUUUUCGAACCCAUGUUGUUGCAGGUACUAGAUUUGUGCUGCUGUGGAUGGUGUUAAGCGCCGGUGGGCACGACCUUCUUAUAGGUUAAAGUAGCUCUUCUAUACUUCUUAUUGAGGAUUGUCACUGAGCUAGCAUAUAUUUCAAACUUAUAAAUAAAUUAUAACAUUUUAAAGUUUAUUUCUUUGAAUCACUUCUGUAAUCACUCCGAUAAACAUAAUGUGAAUUUGUUAUAACUUGUAACUUUUUGUAAUAAGGAAAUUCAACUACAAAUGUUGGUGUGUGAUUUGUGUUUACUUAAUCUUGUGAUCCUGGUUGUAAGUGGUUUAUCCGGGGUCCUUGGGGCACUCGGACGGAUCUUGUUAAGUUAUCUGGUGCACAUGCAUAGCCGUGUGAGGUCUUUGAGACAAGGGCAGAUGCAUGUGGGCCCAAUAACUUGGGAGGUUCUGCCACAAAAUUCUCAUGAAUUAAGAAAUACAAGGCUCCAAAGUCAGCUUAAUCUCACUGAAAUUUCAGAGUUUAACACAUGGGUGUUCUUGGGAAUUUUGCAAUUAAGUCUAAAUUGCUCCACACUACUUGAAAAUUCUCCAAUGUAAAAGUUGCUUGGUUUUUUAUGUUCUACCACUUUUAUAUAUACACUUUGGUCCAAAAGUGUAUAGAAUUUGAAAUUACCCCCUAGGGUACAAAUUAGGGUUUUUAGGGUUCCUUUUAGGGUUUUGAGCACUCUAGGGUUUUUGUGCCACUCAAAUCCAUGAAACUUGAUAUCUUAUGAAUGUUUCCAAUUACUUUUGAGGUAUUACUCAUUUUGGCUUCCCAUUACCCACAUGCCCUAAUCCCAGGGUUAAGCACCCUACCCUAGGGUUAAGAAUACUUCAAGACAUUACAUCACAUUGUUUUGAAGUUUUAACCUAGUAGAUGCAUUCUAGGUGUGACAAACAAAAUGGAAUGUCAAUGCAUAUGAUGCUAUGCUCAAGUUUUAGUGUCAGUAACACCAAGGGUGUUACAGUGUCCAUCUCCUCUGCCUUGCUGUUGUGUUGGAGGGUCUCUUCUUCUCGGUGGAGGAGGUGGAGGGUCAAUGGAGGCACCUCCUCCACAUCCAUCUUGUGUCCACUACAAGGGUGGUAGGUAGGGACCAUCAUUUGCCAUCAUUAGAGUUAGCAUCUCUUCCAGUCACUCGCAAACCCUAGGCGAGGGGUCCAGUAGGAUUAGGGUUGGGCAAAGGCUAGUUGCGUUGGAUUAAGCCAUCGUUCCCCUUAAUCCCUUCAUGGAGAGCUUGACGGAGACACCACCAAGACAUAUAGGAGCGCGACAACCUUUAAGAGUAACAAGUCGAUGAUGCUUGCCGGCGUAUCGCCUAGUGUCUCAAAGAUCACUAAUUGAUGCAAAUGCACUAGGAGCUCUCAAUCUCUCACUAGAAUCCAAUCUCAAGCAAAGUGUGCGAGAGAGUGAGUGGGAGGAUCACAAAUGUGCUCAAUGUGUACUAGAAAUGGCCAAGAGAGGUCUCACACACGACCUCCACUUCUGUUUAUAGGCCUCCACUCAAAACAAACUGUAAUAUGGAAGAUGUCAACUUUCUGCGCACACGCAGACGGUCCGCCCUCUUAGGGAGGACAGUCUGCUGUACAUGUAAUGACUAGUUUUCCCGCUUGAAACCUGUCAGAGUUGUCACAAAAAGGUUGGCCCAGACGGUCCACCAACCUUGGACGGACGGUCCGAGACCUAGCAACCUAUCGCACCCGAGCAGUGACCAAGUUAACUUACACGGGUGGACGGUCCGCCCUCCAAGGCCGGAUGGUCCGCCACUGUAACACUUCAAAAUCGUAUCUUGGUGAAUUAAGAAAAUUCCCUAAAGAUUUAAAAUUUCAAGUGUAUUAUAACAAAGUUAUGAAUUGAGACUAUUUUCCCUAAAAUUUAAUAAAUAGUAAAUAUAAAAUGAUGGCUAUAUACUUAAACUAUAAUAAAUAGGAUAAUGAGUUAUUCUAUAUAAAUUACUCCUAUUGGGUUAUAUAACUAUGUGAAUUCUAUGCUUAUUGAAUUUCGUAGAUACAAAUACUUAUUUGAGCAAAGUAAAUAAGGAGUAAUAAAUGUAAAAUAUUUGCAUUCAUGUUGGUGUUUUGGUUGUGCAUAUAAAUAUGGUUUCAAAAUUUAAAAUCAUAUUUGAAAUGGGAUAACUAAACCUGGAAAUAAAAAACAGGAAAAAAUAAUAGCAAAUAAAAGGCUUACCUAUUCAGCCACUUAAGGAACACAACUCACGUGAGUUUUUUCUCUUAUUUUUAUUGCACUUGCUGGAUCUUGCAUCACUGUUACAUCAUUCAUGACAUCAGCCAUCCCUUGUUGUUCGUAACAAACUAACCACCGUAGUUGUUGUAACCGCCCGACCAAACUUCUCAACUGUGUAACAUAUUUGGUUUCGAGUUUGUUAGAGUUCCUAACAGAUAGGAUAUGAUUGUAACAUAUAAGUACCAGAUUAGAUCUGUCAUAUAACAAAUUUGGUUUCGAGUUUGUUAGAGUUCCUAAUAGAUAGGAUAUGAUUGUAACAGAUAAGUACCAGAUUAGAUCUAUCAUGUAACCACCCACCUUCUAGCCUAUAUAAAUACAUGUCACCAUAACACUUGAAGCCAUCAAUCAUAGACUCAUCUCAUCUAUAGCCUCGCGGCAGCACCGUCGCCAUCCAAGCCACAACAGCCCGUCGCCAGCUAAGCUCGCAACCAUAAGCUGCUAUGAGCAACUCGUCGAAGUUCGAGUUCCUCACCAACUCUAACGACAACUUCGGCGAGUAAUUUCUCACCGUCCGUUCAUCUUCUGGGGCAGCCCAGAACAUCACCAUGACUAGCUCACGAGAGCUUCGACACCGCGCUUCUGGUUCAUCGAUCGGAUCUCCGGUUCAUAAUCAAAAACCAAGAUGACUAGCAAUAACGAGGGAGUGAAGAGCUUGAUCGUAAAGUAAGUUAGUGGUAGGUUAGGGGUCUUUCCCACAUAAUAAGUUUGGCGCUUCCUACCUGAUAGAUAACCACCACUAUUGUCGGCGUUUCGACCUCGGGGGGUCCCUAGACCGAUGAGUAAAUUGUCGCUGCGUGUCCCAGCCUAGAUGGGUCGGCGCGAGACGGAACACAGAGGGGGAAAAUAGUAAGGGGAAACCGCGGCCUUCGUGUUGUCCUGCGCCCGGGGCGGAUGGAUGCGCUUGCAGUAGGGGGUUACAAGCGUUCGCGUGGGAGAGAGCGAGAGCGAGAGCCUUAUGCGUCGGCCCGUUCUCCCGCGCGACCAACCUUUUGUACGAGAGCCCUAGACCUUCCUUUUAUAGACGUAAGGAGAGGGCCCAAGUGUACAAUGGGGGGUGUAGCAAUGUGCUAACGUGUCUAGCAGAGAGGAGCUAGUGCCCUAUGUACAUGCCGUCGUGGCUGUCGGAGAGGUGUUGCUGCCCUGUUCAUGUGAUGUCGUGGCCGUCGGAGGAGAGCUGGAGCCCUGCGGAAGUACAGCUGUCGGGGCUGUCGGAUCCUUGCUGACGUCUCCUUGCUGACGUAAGGGGUUGGGAGCUGCCGUCGUCAUGGAGCGUGCGGGGUGUCAUCAUUACUUGUUUACUGGGGCGAGCCAGAUGGGACGUCGAUCUUGUUCCCCGUAGCCUGAGCUAGCUAGGGGCAGGGUAAUGAUGGCCCCCCUGGCGACGUGGCCGGUCCGGGCCCGAGUUUGGGCGAGGUGGCGAUUCCUCUGAGGUCGAGGUUGAGUCCAAGCCUUGGGGUCGGGCGAGGCGGAGUCCAUCGUCUUCCGGAGCCAAGGCUGAGUCCGAGCCCUGGGGUCGGGCGAGGCGGAGUCCAUCGUCUUCCGGAGCCGAGGCUUAGUCCGAGCCCUGGGGUCGGGCGAGGCGGAGUUCGUCGUCUUCUAAGUCGUGGUUGAGUCCGAGCCCUGGGGUCGGGCGAGGCGAAGUCCAUCUUCCGAGGCCGAGACAGGGGCUGAACCCUGGGGUCAGGCGAGGCGGAGCUUCCUAUGUCGCCCGAGGCUGGACUUAGCCGCUGUCGACCUUACUCUGGCGAGUGGCACGACAGUCAGAGCAGGGCAGGCGACGCUGUAUUCCUGUCAGGUCGGUCAGUGGAGCGGCGAAGUGGCUGCGGUCACUUCGGCCUUGUCGACUGAAGAGUGCGCGUCAGGACAAGAUGUCAGGCGAUCCUUGCAUUAAAUGCUCCUGCGAUAUGGUCGGUUGGUGUGGCGAUUUGGCCAGGGUUGCUUCUCCGCGAAGCCUACCCGAGCUGUGCCUCAGGCGAGUCGACGGUGCGUCCGUUGCUUGAGGGGAUCCUCGGGCGAGGCAUGAAUCUUCCGGGGUCGGCUGUCUUUGCCCGAGGUCGGGCUCGGGCGAGGCGGGAUCGUGUCCUUUGAGCGGAGCCUUGGCCUGAAUCACGCCCAUCAGGCCUUCGCAGCUUUGUGCUGAUGGGGUUUACCAGCUGAGAUCAGUAGUCUUGGGGGUACCUCUAGUUAUGUUCCCCGACAGUAGCCCCCGAGCCUCAAAGGGAGUGUUGGCACUCGCUUGGAGGCUUUUGUCGCACUUUUUUGCAAGGGGACCGGCCUUUCUCGGUUGCAUUUCGUUCCGGUGGGUGCGCGCGAGCGCACCCACCGGGUGUAGCCACCGAGGCCUCGGAGGAGUGUUUUGACUCCUUCGAGGUCUUAGUGCCUUUCGUGAUGGCUUGGCCGGUUUGGUUGUUCCCUCAUGCGAACUGGUCGUUGCCCGAGUGCUUAGUCAGGUCCCAAGUUCUCGGGCUGGUAUGUUGACGCUGUCAACGGUUUGGCCGGAGCCGGGUUUGCGAGAGCAGCCCCCGAGCCUCCGCACAGAGCGAGAGGACGGUCAAGGACAAACUCGGCUUUUUUCAUACGCCCCUGCGUCGCCUUUCCGCAAGGAGGGGGGGGGAAGCGCCAUGUUGCCCUCGGAGGGCGCCAAACAUGGUGUCUCCAGUGAGUUGCUAACGGGUAAUCCGAGUGGACGCCCAUGCCCCAUUCGUUAGGGGUCGGCUAGUGGCCUGGAGGCGCGCUCCAAAAGUACCUGCGGGUGAUUCGCCGGACCCGGUCCCCUUUUGACGGGGUCCGAGGGCUCGAUGCCUCCCUCUGGUGGGAUUCCGUUACAAAAUCGUUCCCGUUGGUCUCGGAAAUGUCCUAGGGUACCUCGGGAGCGUAGCCCGAGCCUUGGUUAUGUAUCGAACGUACCCAGGGUCAUCCCUCGCUCUGCGUGCUCUGAGGCGGCUAUCGAACCCUUCGGGGGCCAGCCUACGAACCCCUGAUCAGUAGUGGGCGCGGAGCUCGAGUGGCCUGAGGCAGCCGUUGAACCCUUCCGAGGGGCCAGCCUUCGAACCUCUGACCAGUAGUGGGCGCGGAGCCCGAGUGCUCUGAGGCGGCUGUUGAACCCUUCCGAGGGGCCAGCCUUCGAACCUCUGAUCAGUAGGGGGGCUCGGGGCCCGCUUCCUUCGCGGAGAAGGAUACGAAAUCGAAUGACGUGGCACACCUUUUUUUUGACGCGGUCAUUAUGGCGGAGGUGAAGCGUCGCCUGCUUUGCCUGCCAAAGGUGCCGCCUGUCCCGCCGUAGAGUUAAUGCGAUGGGACGAGUGGUUCGCGGGGCAGCCGUUGUGCGUGCGCGAGCCGUUCGAGGAACGGGCGUCUCGCCUUUGAGUUUUGAAUCUCGCGGCGGGUUCGGGCGAAGUGUUGAACGGGUCUCGCCUGGGCCUUUAUAUAUUUGGGAGAGGGACCGGUGACGGUUCUUUACUCUGCUGCUCGCCUCCCACUUAGGUUUUUGCAACCUGAGGGAAUAGCCAGAGAAAGGAAACCGCGCACCUUGUCCUCUCCGUCGCCACCUCUUCUGCUUGAUGAUGGCCGACCGGGUGACCGUUGUUUCGCCGCGUGACCCGUGGCCUUUCUCCACCGUCACGGCGGAUGAUCUGGAGGCCCUUGUUGCUGAUGGUUUGCUUCGUCCUCUCUCCGGUGACUCGCAGCCGGAGUGGAUGGCCCCUCCGAGCGGAGCCGCCCCGUCCCCGCCGCCGGGGUAUGUGCUGAGCUUCGUCUCUUUUCACGAGCAGGGGUUCGGAGUGCCGGCAAGUCGUUUCAUGCGGGCGAUUCUGCAUGUCUACGGGGUGGAGCUGCACAAUCUCAGUCCCAACUCCAUCGCGCAAGCAGCCAUCUUCGCGGCGGUUUGCGAAGGAUUUUUGGGGAUUGCCCCCCACUGGGACCUGUGGACCCAUCUCUUCUCCGCGGAGCUUUUUGCCUCGACGACGGGGGAAAGAAAAGUUUGCAUGGCGGUGCGGGCCGGUGGCUGCAUCCUCCAGUUGAGGCAGGCGCAGACGCAGCAGUACAUCCCUACCAUCCUUGCGUCUUCGAACAAGGGGUGGCAGCUGAAAGUCGCCUAGAGGGGGGGUGAAUAGGGCGAAACUGAAAUUCUCAAGAAUAAUCACAACUAUAAGCCGGGUUAGCGUUAGAAAUAUAAUAGAGUCCGCGAGAGAGGGUGCAAAACAAAUCGCAAACGAAUAAUGAAGUGAGACGCGGAUUUGUUUUACCGAGGUUCGGUUCUCUCAAACCUACUCCCCGUUGAGGAGGCCACAAAGGCCGGGUCUCUUUCAACCCUUCCCUCUCUCAAAACGGUCCCACGGACCAAAUGAGCUUUCUCUUCUCAAUCACUUGGAACACAAAGUUCCCACAAGGACCACCACAAGUUUGGUGUCUCUUGCCUCAAUUACAAGUGAGUUUGAUCGCAAUGAAAGAAUCAAGAAGGAAGAAAGCAAUCCAAGCGCAAGAGCUUGAAAGAAACACAAGCAAAUCACUCUCUCUAAUCACUAGGGCGUUGUGUGGAAUUUGGAGAGGAUUUGAUCUCUUUGGUGUGUCUAGAAUUGAAUGCUAGAGCUCUUGUAAGUAGUUGGGAAGUGGAAAACUUGGAUGCAAUGAAUGGUGGGGUGGUUGGGUUAUUUAUAGCCCCAACCACCAAACUUGACCGUUGGCGGAGGCUGUCUGUUCGAUGGCGCACCGGACAGUCCGGUGCACACCGGACAUGUCCGGUGCCCCAGCCACGUCACCAGUGCCGUUGGAAUCUGACCGUUGGAGUUCUGACUUCUGGGCCCGCCUCGAUGUCCGGUGGCGCACCGGACAUGAACUGUUCAGUGUCCGGUGCGCCGGUAUGGGCGCGCCUGCCUUCUGCGCGCGCUGCGCGAACAUUUAAUGCGUGGCAGGUAGCCGUUGGCGCGAAGUAGCAGUUGCUCCAAGGAUGCACCGGACAGUCCGGUGCACACCGGACAUGUCCGGUGAAUUAUAGCGGAGCAGCCUUCGUGAAAUCCCGAGGCUGGCGAGUUCCGGAGCAGCGUCUUCGUUGGAGCACCGGAUACUGUCCGGUGUACACCGGACAGUCCGGUGAAUUAUAGCGCGCCGGUUCUGGAUUUUCCCGAAGGUGACGAGUUGGAGUUGGAGUCCUCUGGUGCACCGGACACUGUCCGGUGGCACACCGGACAGUCCGGUGCGCCAGACCAGAGGAGCCUUCGGUUGCUCCUUUGCUCUUUUUGUUGAACUCAAUACUUGGUCUUUUUAUUGGCGAAGUGUGAACCUUUUGCACCUGUAUAACUUAUACACUAGAAUAAACUAGUUAGUCCAAAGAUUUGUGUUGGGCAAUUCAACCACCAAAAUUACAUAGGAACUAGGUGUAAGCCUAAUUCCCUUUCAAUCUCCCCCUUUUUGGUGAUUGAUGCCAACACAAACCAAAGCAAAUAUAGAAGUGCAUAAUUGAACUAGUUUGCAUAAUAUAGGUGCAAAGGUUGCUUGGAAUUGAGCCAAUAUAAAUACUUACAAGAUAUGUAUAGAUUGUUUCUUCAUUUUUAACAUUUUGGACCACGCUUGCACCACAAGUUUUGUUUUUGCAAAUUCUUUUGUAAAUUCUUUUCAAGGUCCUUUUGCAAGAUAGUCAAAGGUAAAUGAAUAAGAUUUUGAGAAGCAUUUUCAAGAUUUGAAAUUCUCUCCCCUUGUUCCAAAUGCUUUUCCUUUGACUAAACAAAACUCCCCCUAAAUGAGAUCCUCCUCUUAGUGUUCAAGAGGUUUUUGAUUUAUCAUUUUUGAAAUACUACUUUCUCCCCCUUUAGAACAUAAUAAGAUACCAAUUUGAAAUUGACCAAUUGAAAAUCUCCAAAAAUUUUAAAAUUAGGUGGUGGUGCGGUCCUUUUGCAGUGGUGGUGCGGUCCUUUUGCUUUGGGCUCAUAUUUUCUCCCCCUUUGGCAUGAAUCGCCAAAAACGGAAUCAUUAGAGCCCAACGAAGUACUUUCUCCUCCUUUGGUCAUAAAAUAAAUGAGUGAAGAUUAUACCAAAGUUGGAGAGAUGCUUGGAGUGACGACGAAGUAUGAGUAGUAGUGUGGAGUGGAAGCCUUUGUCUUCGCCGAAGACUCCAAUUUCCUUUCAAUAUACCUAUGACUUGGUUUGAAAUACACUUGAAAACACAUUAGUCAUAGCAUAUAUAAAAGAGAUAUGAUCAAAGGUAUACUUGUGUGCUAUGUGUGCAAAUUAGCAAAAGAAAUUCCUAGAAUCAAGAAUAUUGAGCUCAUGCCUAAGUCUGGUAAAAGAUUGUUCAUCAAGUGGCUUGGUAAAGAUAUCGGCUAAUUGAUCUUUAGUGUUAAUGUAUGAAAUCUCGAUAUCCCCCUUUUGUUGGUGAUCCCUAAGAAAAUGAUACCGAAUGGCUAUGUGUUUAGUGCAGCUAUGCUCAACGGGAUUAUCCGCCAUGCGGAUUGCACUCUCAUUAUCACAUAGAAGAGGAACUUUGGUUAAUUUGUAACCAUAGUCCCGCAGGGUUUGUCUCAUCCAAAGCAAUUGCGCGCAACAAUGGCCUGCGGCAAUAUACUCGGCUUCGGCGGUAGAAAGAGCGACCGAAUUUUGCUUCUUUGAAGCCCAAGACACCAAGAAUCUUCCCAAGAACUGGCAAGUCCCCGAUGUGCUCUUCCUAUUAAUCUUACACCCUGCCCAAUCGGCAUCCGAAUAACCAAUUAAUUCAAAUGUGGAUCCCCGAGGGUACCAAAGCCCAAACUUAGGAGUAUAAGCCAAAUAUCUCAAGAUUCGUUUUACGGCCGUAAGGUGUGAUUCCUUAGGGUCGGCUUGGAAUCUUGCACGCAUGCAAACGGAAAGCAUAAUGUCCGGUCGAGACGCACAUAAAUAAAGCAAUGAACCAAUCAUCGACCGGUAUACCUUUUGAUCCACGGACUUACCUCCCGUGUCGAGGUCGAGAUGCCCAUUAGUUCCCAUGGGUGUCUUGAUGGGCUUGGCAUCCUUCAUUCCAAACUUGUUUAGAAUGUCUUGAGUAUACUUUGUUUGGCUAAUGAAGGAGCCCUCUUGGAGUUGCUUCACUUGAAAUCCUAAGAAGUACUUCAACUCCCCCAUCAUAGACAUCUCAAACUUUUGUGUCAUGAUCCUACUAAACUCUUCACAUGUAGAUUCGUUAGUAGACCCAAAUAUAAUAUCAUCAACAUAAAUUUGGCAUACAAACAAAUCAUUCUCAAGUGUUUUGGUAAAUAGCGUAGGAUCGGCCUUUCCGACUUUGAAGCCAUUAGCAAUAAGGAAAUCUCUAAGGCAUUCAUACCAUGCUCUUGGGGCUUGCUUGAGCCCAUAAAGCGCCUUAGAGAGCUUAUAGACAUGGUUAGGGUACUCACUAUCUUCAAAGCCGGGAGGUUGCUCAACAUAGACCUCUUCCUUGAUUGGUCCAUUGAGGAAGGCACUUUUCACGUCCAUUUGAUAAAGCUUAAAGCCAUGGUAAGUAGCAUAGGCCAAUAAUAUGCGAAUUGACUCAAGCCUAGCUACGGGUGCAUAGGUUUCACCGAAAUCCAAACCUUCGACUUGGGAGUAUCCCUUGGCCACAAGUCGUGCUUUGUUCCUUGUCACCACACCAUGCUCAUCUUGCUUGUUGCGGAAAACCCAUUUGGUUCCUACAACAUUUUGAUUAGGACGUGGAACUAAAUGCCAUACCUCAUUUCUAGUGAAGUUGUUGAGCUCCUCUUGCAUCGCCACCACCCAAUCCGAAUCUUGUAGUGCUUCCUCUACCCUGUGUGGCUCAAUAGAGGAAACAAACGAGUAAUGUUUACAAAAAUGUGCAACACGAGAUCUAGUAGUUACCCCCUUAUGAAUGUCGCCGAGGAUGGUGUCGACGGGGUGAUCUCGUUGUAUUGCUUGGUGGACUCUUGGGUGUGGCGGCCUUGGUUCUUGCUCAUCCUCCUUUUCUUGAUCAUUUGCAUCUCCCCCUUGAUCAUUGCCAUCAUCUUGAGGUGGCUCAUUUGCUUGAUCUUCUACUUCAUCAACUUGAGCUUCAACCUCAUUUUGAGUCGGUGGAGAUGCUUGCGUGGAGGAGGAUGGUUGAUCUUGUGCAUGUGGAGGCUCUUCGGAUUCCUUAGGACACACAUCCCCAAUGGACAUGUUCCUUAGCGCGAUGCACGGAGCCUGUUCUUUACCUAUCUCAUCAAGAUCAACUUGCUCUAUUUGAGAGCCGUUAGUUUCAUCAAACACAACGUCACAAGAAACUUCAACUAGUCCUGAGGACUUGUUAAAGACUCUAUAUGCCCUUGUGUUUGAGUCAUAUCCCAGUAAAAAGCCUUCUACAGUUUUAGGAGCAAAUUUAGAUUUUCUACCUCUCUUAACAAGAAUAAAGCAUUUGCUACCAAAAACUCUAAAAUAUGAAAUAUUGGGCUUUUUACCAGUAAGGAGUUCAUAGGAUGUCUUCUUGAGGAUUCGGUGUAGAUAUAACCGGUUGAUGGCGUAGCAAGCGGUGUUGACCGCCUCGGCCCAAAACCGAUCCGGUGUCUUGUACUCAUCAAGCAUGGUUCUUGCCAUGUCCAAUAGAGUUCGAUUCUUCCUCUCCACUACACCAUUUUGUUGUGGAGUGUAGGGAGAAGAGAACUCAUGCUUGAUGCCCUCCUCCUCAAGAAAGCCUUCUAUUUGUGAGUUCUUGAACUCCGUCCCGUUGUCGCUUCUAAUUUUCUUGAUCCUUAAGCCGAACUCAUUUUGAGCCCGUCUCAAGAAUCCCUUUAAGGUCUCUUGGGUAUGAGAUUUUUCCUGCAAGAAGAAUACCCAAGUGAAGCGAGAAUAAUCAUCCACAAUAACUAGACAGUACUUACUCCCGCCGAUGCUUAUGUAAGCGAUCGGGCCGAAUAAAUCCAUGUGUAGGAGCUCCAGUGGCCUAUCGCUUGUCAUAAUGUUCUUGUGUGGAUGAUGAGACCCAACUUGCUUUCCUGCUUGGCAUGCGCUACAAAUCCUGUCUUUCUCAAAAUGAACAUUUGUUAGUCCCAAAAUGUGCUCUCCCUUUAGAAGCUUAUGAAGAUUCUUCAUCCCAACAUGAGCUAGUCGGCGGUGCCAGAGCCAACCCAAGUUAGUCUUAGCAAUUAAGCAAGUGUCGAGUUCAGCUUUAUCAAAAUCUACCAAGUAUAGCUGACCCUCCAACACUCCCUUAAAUGCUAUUGAAUCAUCACUUUUUCUAAAGACAGUGACACUUACAUCAGUAAAUAGACAGUUGUAGCCCAUUUGACAAAGUUGCGAAACAGAAAGCAAAUUGUAAUCUAAAGAGUCUACAAGAAAAACAUUGGAAAUAGUAUGGUCAGGUGAUAUAGCAAUUUUACCCAAACCUUUGACCAAACCUUGAUUUCCAUCCCCGAAUGUGAUAGCUCGUUGGGGAUCUUGGUUUUUCUCAUAUGAGGAGAACAUCUUUUUCUCCCCUGUCAUAUGGUUUGUGCACCCGCUAUGGAGUAUCCAACUUGAGCCCUCGGAUGCAUAAACCUACAAAACAAUUUUAGUUCUUGACUUUAGGUACCCAAACGGUUUUGGGUCCUUUGGCAUUAGAAACAAGAACUUUGGGUACCCAAACACAAGUCUUGGAGCCCUUGUGUUUGCCCCCAACAAACUUGGCAACUAUCUUGCCGGAUUUGUUAGUAAGCACAUAUGAUGCAUCAAAAGUUUUAAAUGAAAUACUAUGAUCAUUUGAUGCGCUAGGAGUUUUCUUCUUAGGCAACUUAGCACGGGUUGGUUGCCUAGAGCUAGAUGUCUCACCCUUAUACAUAAAAGCAUGGUUAGGGCCAGAGUGAGACUUCCUAGAGUGAAUUUUCCUAAUUUUGCUCUCAGGAUAACCGACAGGGUAUAAAAUGUAACCCUCGUUAUCUUGAGGCAUGGGAGCCUUGCCCUUAACAAAAUUUGACAAUCUUUUAGGAGGGGCACUAAGUUUGACAUUGUCUCCCCUUUGGUAGCCAAUGCCAUCCUUAAUGCCAGGGUGUCUCCCAUUAUAGAGCAUACUUCUAGCAAAUUUAAACUUUUUCAUUUUCUAAGUUAUGCUCGGCAAUUUUUGCAUCUAAUAUUGCUAUAUGAUCAUUUUGUUGUUUAAUCAAAGUCAUGUGAUCAUGAAUAGCAUUAAUAUCAACAUCUCUACAUCUAGUACAAAUGGAAACAUGCUCAAUACUAGAUGUAGAGGGUUUGCAUGAAUUAAGUUCAACGAUCUUAGCACACAAGAUAUCAUUAUUAUCUCUAAGAUCGGAAAUUGUAACAUUGCAAACAUCUAGUUCUUUAGCCUUAGCAAUUAAAUUUUCAUUUUCUACCCUAAGGCUAGCAAGAGAAAUGCUUAAUUCUUCAAUCUUAGCAAGCAAAUCAUCAUUAUCAUUUCUAAGAUUGGGAAUUGAAACAUUACAAACAUGUGAGUCAACCUUAGCAUUUAAACUAGCAUUUUCAUUUUUAAGGUUGGUAAUAGUAUCAUGGCAAGUACUCAGCUCACUAGAUAAUUUCUCACAUUUUUCUACCUCUAGAGCAUAAGCAUUUUUAACCUUAACAUGCUUUUUAUUUUCCUUGAUUAGGAAGUCCUCUUGGGAGUCCAAGAGGUCAUCCUUUUAAUGGAUGGCACUAAUUAGCUCAUUUAGUUUUUCCUUUUGUUCCAUGUUAAGGUUGGCAAAAAGAACGCGCAAGUUAUCCUCCUCAUUGCUAGCAUCAUCCUCAUCACUAGAGGUUUCAUAUUUAGUGGAGGAUCUUGAUUUUACCUUCUUCCUUUUGUCGUCCUUUGCCAUGAGGCACUUGUGGCCGACGUUUGGGAAGAGGAGUCCCUUGGUGACGGCGAUGUUGGCGGCGUCCUCGUCGGAGGAGGAGUCGGUGGAGCUCUCGUCGAAAUCCCACUCGCGGCACACGUGGGCAUCGCCGCCCCUCUUCUUGUGGUACCUCUUCUUUUCUUUCCUCUUUCCCUUCUUGUCGUUAUCCCUGUCACUGUCACUUGAUAAUGGACAUUUAGCGAUAAAGUGACCGGGCUUACCACACUUGUAGCAAACCUUCUUGGAACGGGAUUUGUGAUCUUUCCCCUUCCGUUGCUUGAGGAUUUGGCGAAAGCUUUUGAUGAUUAAAGCCAUCUCCUCAUUGUCGAGCUUGGAGGCGUCAAUUGGUUGCCUAUUCGGUGUAGACUCCUCCUUCUUCUCCUCCGUCGCCUUAAAUGCCACCGGUUGUGCUUCGGACGUGGAGGGUUCAUCAAGCUCGUUGAUCUUCUUAGAGCCCUUGAUCAUACAUUCAAAACUCACAAAAUUCUCGAUAACUUCCUCGGGGGUCAUUUGAGUAUAUCUAGGAUUACCACGAAUUAAUUGAACUUGAGUGGGGUUAAGGAAAAUGAGUGAUCUAAGAAUAACCUUAACCACCUCGUGGUCAUCCCAUUUCUUGCUCCCGAGGUUGCGCACUUGGUUCACCAAAGUCUUGAGCCGGUUGUACAUGUCUUGUGGCUCUUCCCCUUGGCGAAGUCGAAAGCGACCGAGCUCCCCCUCGAUCGUUUCCCGCUUGGUGAUCUUUGUUAGUUCAUCACCCUCGUGCGCGGUCUUGAGGAGGUCCCAAAUUUCCUUUGCAUUCUUCAAUCCUUGCACCUUGUUGUAUUCCUCUCUAUUUAGAGAGGCCAAGAGUAUGGUUGUGGCUUGGGAGUUGAAGUGCUCGAUUUGGGCCACCUCGUCCUCAUCAUAAUCCUCAUCCCCUACGGAUGGUACCUGUGCUCCAAACUCAACAACAUUCCAUAUACUUUUGUGGAGUGAGGUUAGAUGAAAUUUCAUUAAAUCACUCCACAUAGCAUAAUCUUCGCCAUUAAAGGUUGGCGGUUUGCCUAAUGGAACGGAAAGUAAUGGAGUAUGUCUAGAUGUACGAGGAUAGUGUAAGGGGAUCUUACUAAACUUCUUGCGCUCUUGGCGCUUAGAAGUUACGGACGGUGCAUCAGAGUCGGAGGUCGAUGUUGAUGAAGUGUCGGUCUCGUAGUAGACCACUUUCCUCAUCCUCUUGUGCUUGUCGCCUUUCCGAUACGACUUGUGAGAAGAAGAUUUUUCCUUCUUCUCUUUGUGGUGAGAAGAGGAAGAUCUUUUCUCCUUCCGUUUGGAGGAGUCCUUCUUCUUCUCCUUCCUCUUGGUGCGGGAUUCUUCCGAUGAAGUGCUCCCUUGGCUUGUAGUGGGCUUGUCGCCGGUCUCCAUCUCCCUCUUGGUGUGAUCUCUCGACAUCACUUCGAGCGGUUAGGCUCUAAUGAAGCACCGGGCUUUGAUACCAAUUGAAAGUCGCCUAGAGGGGGGGUGAAUAGGGUGAAACUGAAAUUCUCAAGAAUAAUCACAACUAUAAGCCGGGUUAGCGUUAGAAAUAUAAUAGAGUCCGCGAGAGAGGGUGCAAAACAAAUCGCAAACGAAUAAUGAAGUGAGACACGCGGAUUUGUUUUACCGAGGUUCGGUUCUCUCAAACCUACUCCCCGUUGAGGAGGCCACAAAGGCCGGGUCUCUUUCAACCCUUCCCUCUCUCAAAACGGUCCCACGGACCGAAUGAGCUUUCUCUUCUCAAUCACUUGGAACACAAAGUUCCCACAAGGACCACCACAAGUUUGGUGUCUCUUGCCUCAAUUACAAGUGAGUUUGAUCGCAAUGAAAGAAUCAAGAAGGAAGAAAGCAAUCCAAGCGCAAGAGCUUGAAAGAAACACAAGCAAAUCACUCUCUCUAAUCACUAGGGCGUUGUGUGGAAUUUGGAGAGGAUUUGAUCUCUUUGGUGUGUCUAGAAUUGAAUGCUAGAGCUCUUGUAAGUAGUUGGGAAGUGGAAAACUUGGAUGCAAUGAAUGGUGGGGUGGUUGGGUUAUUUAUAGCCCCAACCACCAAACUUGACCGUUGGCGGAGGCUGUCUGUUCGAUGGCGCACCGGACAGUCCGGUGCACACCGGACAUGUCCGGUGCCCCAGCCACGUCACCAGUGCCGUUGGAAUUUGACCGUUGGAGUUCUGACUUCUGGGCCCGCCUCGAUGUCCGGUGGCGCACCGGACAUGAACUGUUCAGUGUCCGGUGCGCCGGUAUGGGCGCGCCUGCCUUCUGCGCGCGCUGCGCGCGCAUUUAAUGCGUGGCAGGUAGCCGUUGGCGCGAAGUAGCAGUUGCUCCAAGGAUGCACCGGACAGUCCGGUGCACACCGGACAUGUCCGGUGAAUUAUAGCGGAGCAGCCUUCGUGAAAUCCCGAGGCUGGCGAGUUCCGGAGCAGCGUCUUCGUUGGAGCACCGGACACUGUCCGGUGUACACCGGACAGUCCGGUGAAUUAUAGCGCGCCGGUUCUGGAUUUUCCCGAAGGUGACGAGUUGGAGUUGGAGUCCUCUGGUGCACCGGACACUGUCCGGUGGCACACCGGACAGUCUGGUGCGCCAGACCAGAGGAGCCUUCGGUUGCUCCUUUGCUCUUUUUGUUGAACUCAAUACUUGGUCUUUUUAUUGGCGAAGUGUGAACCUUUUGCACCUGUAUAACUUAUACACUAGAAUAAACUAGUUAGUCCAAAGAUUUGUGUUGGGCAAUUCAACCACCAAAAUUACAUAGGAACUAGGUGUAAGCCUAAUUCCCUUUCAGCAGCGCCGGUGGUUUUAUCUCCGGAAUGAUGACGGGAGGCUCCCGUCAUUUUCUCAAGGAGUGGUGACCGCCGCCGGCGGUAACUGGCGCUACGGGGCCCCGCGCGAGAGACAGAAGAAUCUCCAGCCCCUUUUGAAGGCCUUGGAGGAGCUGCGAGAAGGAGGGCUCACCGCCGCGGGGGUGGUUGCCGCCAUUCAUCGCGAGAGGGUGCUCCCCUUGACGGAGCGGCGGCUGCCGCUUUGGGAGAUGACGCCGGGGGUCAACUUGGAGGGUUUGCAGAUGUCCUCGGUCCUCCUUCCCGCCGACGACCUCCACAGGUGGGUAGCCCGCACAGUAGGGAAGUUAGACGCCGGCGCCUUUUCCCAGCUCUCGAUGCGUCCCGAUCGUGGGUGUGUGUCCCUAGUGAGUGUCCGCUCCUUCUUCCUUCUUGUGUCAGAUUGCCCUUGGUUCUCACAGCUGAGACUUUUCGUCCGUCUCCAGGAGGUGGGGUUUCACAAGCCUUCCCUGCCACCGGUCCCGGAGGACGCGGUGGACCGAGCCGCGCGGAGGGUCGCCGCGGAGAAGAGGAAGGAGAAGAAGGACGCGAAGAAGGCUUGGGCCCGCGAGCGGAUGCGGGCUCGGGACGCCUUGGAGAGGCUUCGUCGUCGGCAGGAGAGGGAUGGGUUCCCGAGGGAGCCGUCACCGGAGACGCCUGACGACGACGACGAUGAAGAUGAUGAUGAAGACGACGACAUGGCUGCCCGCCUCGGCCUUAGCCCGGAUCUGAGGCUGGGCCAGGGGUCGUCGAGCCAGCCCCCGAGCGGGCUGGCGCCGUCGGUAUCCGGGGCCAGGACGUCGGGGUCCCGGUCCGAAGAACGGGGGCAGGCCGAGGGGGUACUUGACCCCUUGGCCGAGGUAGUUGAGGUGACCCAGGGGAGUCAGGCCGACCCGCAUGUUCCCCAAGAACCGUUGCCCGUGCCGACUGCACAGGAGGGUGAUCCUUGGGUCGCCGUGGCUGCGCCUGGGCAGUCCAUCCCUCUGGUGCCUCGGGCGCCCGAGGCAAGGAUGGUGUCGAAGCCGGCAGCGGGGCUAACCUCGGUGGUACCUUCGGAGACCGAGGCUCGAGGGACUUCCCCGCCGGCACGAUUGGUCGUGGCCCGGAGUGGGUAAGUAUCUUAGGAUACCUCCGUCCCGGCUCCUCCUUCGUAUGUCCUGAUCCUGCUCUUCCCUUUCUCCCCAGCAAGCAGAGGCACGGUUCGACCGGUCUGGCUCCCCGGAAGGUCCUCAAGACGGUGUUGGCUUCUGCAGCUAGUGCCACGCCGGGCCUCGCUGGCCAGCUAACCUCCUCGCAAGAUGCCCCAAAGCGGGGGGCUCAGGCGGCACAAGUUGCCGUGGGGCGAGCUCCCGAGGCUGACUCGGCGACUGCUGGCGCGGCUGCGGCCUCGAGCCCACCAGACGUGUUGCCGGUGCUGGCACCGGCUUCUACCGAGGCCGUUGCCGUUCUGGCCGUGGAGCCACCCGUCGCCGCCGAUGCUGAGAUGGCCGAGGCGUCGCUACCUGAUGCCUCGGAGAAGAGGGGCGCAGAACCGCGACCCGUCCUGGGGAGCGGCAGCCUCGUCCCCGCGCGACGUAGUCCCGACGGGCGGCGUCAGUCGCUCCGGUUCUGGACCCGUGGUGCUUCGGAUCCCCUCUUCGUUCUCGACGAUGAGCGAGAGGAGCAGUCUUGGGACGGGCUUCGUGAGUGUGCCGAGGCGACGGUGGGGUCACUUCGGUCGACCCUGGAGGUCCUUUGCAGGGACGUUCCCAAGAUUCUCCAGGUAAGGAUUUCAGGCAUACCUUUCACGUGAUCAAGGCAUUUUUUGUUGACGCCCCGCUUCCUUUCCUCAGGAUCUGACGAAUCUGAGCGCCGCCAAGUCGUCGUUCAUCCACCGCGAGGCCGAUGUCUGGGGUUCGCUGCGGUUCCUGAGGACCACGCUUGUCGAGACUACCGAGCGCCUCUCCCAAUGGAGCGCCGAGGUGGCGGACCUUCGGUUGCUCUGUGUCGAUCUAGGAGCGGAGGCAGCGGCGGCACGCGCAGAGGCGCGGCGGCAGCAGUUGGAGCUUGGCCAGGUCAUCGGCGAGCGGGACCAAUCUCGGGGCCGGGCCGUCGAGGCUGAAAGCCGGGCUGAGGCCCUUGGAGACCAGCUAGCCGAGGCGUCUGCUCAGGCCGGAGCCCUUGCGGCAGACCUAGCCGUGGCCCAAGCCGCAUCCUCGGAGUAGCGUGCCCGAGCCGAAGGUAUGUCUUGGCUGUUUUAAGAUUUUGAUUCAGCUUCAUUCUUCAACUCGUGUUUGAAGACUUCUGCUUUGGCUGUUUGCAGAACUCGAGUCUGCCCUCGAUGAGUCCACCAAGGCACUUGCCCAGGCGGCCGAGCAGAGGGAGGCCGACCACGUGGCCAUGUCUGAGGCUAUCUCGGCCUUCUGCUGGGUCUUUGGUCUCGACGACGUCCCCUCAGGAAGCUCCCCUCAGAGUCGCCUGCAUGCCUUGGGUGACCAUGCGCGUGACAGACUCCGCGAGGCGCUGCAUCACGGCGUCAGGCGGGCCUUCGCCGUGCUCGCUUCCCACUACGACGUGGAUCUGGAGCGGGUCAGCGAGGGGUAUUGCCUUCCCGACGAAGAUGAAGCUGCCCUGGCCGAAGUCCAGAGGCUUGAUGCGGCCGCCGCGGGCCCAAGCGCGGUGCUGGCGACCACCUUCGAGGCAGAGAUCCUUCCGCUUGCGCCGUCUUCCGAGGCCGGGGCGGAUCUCGCCGAGGGUGGAAACGAAGCCGAGGGCGCGGCUCCUUCUCCGGGCGACACCUGAUUCUGCUAGAGCAGUUUAUUUUGAAUGCGUAGUGCGUAUGUGUCUUUUGCGGCCGCCGAGGCCCGAACACUUUGUCGUCAUAAUAUAAAGCCGUGUCUCUUUUCCUCCUGUUUUGCGUGUCCUGGCUCGUUCGUCAGUAGCAAGAUUGCUUACCCAAGUAAGAGUUAUUUUUCGCGGUAGGUGACGAGUGAGGUUUCCGUAUCCCGGAGGCGUAGGAGUCCCUCGGCUCGGUCGGCCUUGCCACUUACAUGCACUCUUAUUCGUUUCUCGGGGUCCUGUUACUGAUAUAGCCGGGAGACGCGAAAGUCGUUAGCAGUGUCUCUUUUCCUCCUGUUUUGCGUGUCCUGGCUCGUUCGUCAGUAGCAGGAUUGCUUACCCAAGUAAGAGUUAUUUUUCGCGGUAGGUGACAAGUGAGGUUUCCAUAUCCCGGAGGCGUAGGAGUCCCUCGGCUCGGUCGGCCUUGCCACUUACAUGCACUCUUAUUCGUUUCUCGGGGUCCUAUUACUGAUAUAGCCGGGAGACGCGAAAGUCGUUUUGGUGGAAGACUUCUUUCGAGGAAAAUUUUGACGCUGAGGGGGUUCGCCCCUUCUAGCCCCCGAGGGAGGGUCGGGCUUUGCCGAGGCAAGGCUGACCCUUCCUUGAUGGUUAGACUUUGUAUGUAAACGAGGUAUAUGAACGGCUUGAAAACAUCUUAAGGGUAGAAGCGACGUAGCUGUCGGAUGUUCCAAGCGUUGCUGUAGACCUCGCCUUGAAUGUUGGCCAGCUUGUACGUCCCGGGCUUCAAAACCUUAGCGAUGACGAACGGCCCUUCCCAGGGAGGCGUGAGCUUGUGCCGCCCUCGGGCGUCUUGUCGUAGUCGAAGCACCAAGUCGCCCACCUGGAGGUCUCAGGACCGAACCCCUCGGGCGUGGUAGCGUCGCAGGGACUGCUGAUACCGCGCCGAGUGUAGUAAGGCCAUGUCCCGAGCCUCUUCCAACUGGUCCAGUGAGUCUUCUCGGUUGGUCUGCUUGCGUCGUUCGUCGUAGGCCCUCGUCCUUGGGGAACCGUAUUCUAAGUCUGUGGGCAAGAUGGCCUCGGCUCCAUAGACUAGAAAGAACAGCGUGAAACCCGUGGCUCGACUUGGCGUCGUCCUCAGGCUCCAGACCACCAAGGGGAGUUCCUUCAUCCAUCGCUUGCCGAACUUGUGGAGGUCGUUGUAGAUCCUCGGCUUGAGUCCUUGCAGAAUCAUGCCGUUGGCACGUUCUACUUGCCCAUUCGUCAUGGGGUGUGUCACGGCGGCCUAGUCCACCCGGAUGUGGUGGUCUUCGCAGAAGUCCAGGAACUUUCUGCCAGUGAACUGGGUGCCGUUGUCGGGGAUGAUGGAGUUCGGGACCCCGAAGCGAUGGAUGAUGUUGGUGAAGAAUGCCACCGCCUUUUCGGACCUAAUGUUGUUUAGGGGUCGGACUUCGAUCCAUUUGGAGAAUUUGUUAACGACGACCAGUAGGUGCGUGUAGCCCCCGGGUGCCUUCUGCAAGAGACCGACGAGGUCCAGACCCCACACAGCAAACGACCAGGUGAUGGGUAUUGUUUGCAGAGCCUGAGCAGGUAGGUGGGUCUGCCUUGCGUAGAAUUGACACCCUUGGCAGGUGCGGACAUUUCUAGUGGCGUCGGCCACCGCGGUCGGCCAGUAGAAACCUUGUCGAAAAGCGUUUCCAACAAGGGCUCGAGGCGCUGCGUGAUGACCGCAAGCCCCCGAGUGUAUUUCUUGUAAGAGCUCCUGGCCUUCGGCGAUGGAUAUGCAUCGCUGGAGGAUGUCAGAGGGGCUGCGGUGGUAGAGCUCCUUCCCGUCACCCAGCAAGACGAAUGACUUGGCGCGCCGCGCCAGUCGCCGAGCUUCGGCUCUGUCGAGGGGUAGCUCUCCUCGGUGGAGAUAUUGCAGGUACGGGGUCUACCAGUUUCGAUUAGGCGUGACCCCAUUCCGCUCUUCCUCGAUGCGCAGAGCCUCACCCUCGGUAGCCGAGGGUGCCUCGGGCCGGGCCGAGGCCUUCUCGGGCUCGAGCGUGUCAUUUGUCUUGACUGAGGGUUGAUGUAGGUCCCGGGAGAAGACGUUCGGGGGAACCGUUGUUCGUGCCGAAGCUAUCUUCGCUAGCUCGUCCGCAAUCUCGUUGUACCGCCGGGCGACGUGGUUGACCUCGAGCCCGUAGAACUUGUCCUCCAGGCGCCGAACCUCGUCGCAGUAGGCUACCAUCUUCGGGUCGCGGCAGUGGGAGUUCUUCAUGACUUGGUCGAUGACAAGCUGCGAGUCACCGCGAGCGUCGAGGCGUCGGACCCCUAGCUCGAUGGCGAUGCGCAACCCAUUGACCAGAGCCUCGUACUCAACCACGUUGUUGGACGCCGGGAAAUGGAGGCGCAACACGUAGCGGAGGUGCUUCCCGAGGGGCGAGAUGAAGAGCAGGCCCGCGCCUGCCCCUGUUUUCAUCAGCGACCCGUCGAAAAACAUGGUCUAGAGUUCCGGUUGGAUCAGAGCCGCCGGAAGCUAGGUGUCGACCCAUUCAGCCACAAAGUCCGCCAAGACUUGGGACUUGAUGGCCUUCCGAGGGGCGAACGAGAUUGUCUCGCCCAUGAUUUCCACCGCCCACUUUGCAAUCCUACCCGAGGCCUCUCGACACUGGAUGAUCUCCCCCAGGGGGAAGGAUGACACCACAGUCACCGGGUGAGACUCGAAGUAGUGUCGCAACUUCCGCCGCGUCAGAAUCACCGCGUACAACAGCUUCUGAAUUUGUGGGUAGCGGAUCUUGGUCUCGGACAGUACCUCACUGAUGAAGUAGACCGGCCUCUGGACGGGCAAUGCAUGUCCUUCUUCUCGUCUUUCGACCACGAUCGCGGCGCUGACCACCUGAGUGGUAGCGGCGACGUAGAUCAAGAGGGAUCUGCUUUUUAUUUGGGGUCGAGCUCGGAGCCGAUCCGGAUCUGCUUAGAGGCGUCGUUGCUGGGGUCGAGAGGGACGGACUUAACCAUCUCUGCUGGCUCAAAGUUGCCGGCGUGGCGCUUCGCAUCUGGCGCCUCCUUGGAGAGGCUCUCCAGGUCGGCGAUGAGGGCCUCAGAUUCGGCGAGGGCCUUGGCGUACUCCACGCACUCCACAUCGCAUUCGUACGCGUGUCGGUACGUGGGGCCGAUGGUGAUGACCCCGUUGGGCCCCGACAUUUUGAGCUUGAGGUAGGUGUAGUUGGGGACGGCCAUGAACUUGGCGUAGCAUGGCCUCCCCAGUAAUGCGUGGUAGGUUCCUCGGAACCCGACCACCUCAAACGUGAGGGUUUCCCUUCGGAAGUUGGAGGGAGUCCCGAAGCAGACGGGCAGAUCGAGUUGUCCGAGGGGUUGGACGCGUUUCCCGGGGAUGAUCCUGUGAAAAGGCGCCGCGCCGGCCCGGAUCAAGGACAGAUCGAUCUGUAGGAGCCCGAGGGUCUCGGCGUAGAUGAUGUUGAGGCUGCUGCCUCCGUCCAUGAGGACCUUGGUGAGCCUGACGUUGCCGAUGACGGGGUCGACAACGAGCGGAUAUUUCCCCGGGCUCGGCACGCGGUCGGGGUGGUCGCCCUGGUCAAAGGUGAUGGGCUUGUCGGACCAGUCUAGGUAGACUGGCGCUGCCACCUUUACCGAGCAGACCUCCCGACGCUCUUGCUUGCGGUGCCGAGCCGAGGCGUUCGCCGCUUGCCCACCGUAGAUCAUGAAGCAGUCGUGGACCUCGGGGAACUCCUCUGCCUUGUGAUCCUCCUUCUUGUUGUUGUUGUGGGCCCUGCCACCUUCCGCCGGUGGCCCGGCCUUGUGAAAGUGGCGCCGAAGCAUGACGCACUCCUCAAGGGUGUGCUUGACGGGCCCCUGAUGAUAGGGGCACGGCUCCUUGAGCAUCUUAUCGAAGAGAUUGGCACCUCCAGGAGGUUUCCAAGGGUUCUUGUACUUAGCGGUGGCGACAAGGUCCGCGUCGGUGGCGUUGUGUUUCGCUUGCGACUUCUUCUUGUUCUUCUUCUUGGUGUCGCGCUGAGCGGAUGCCUCGGGGACGUCUUCCGGCUGGCGGCCCUGGGGCUGCUUGUCCUUUCGGAAGAUGGCCUCAACCGCCUCCUGGCCAGAGGCGAACUUGGUGGCGAUGUCCAUCAGCUCGCUCGCCCUGGUGGGGGUCUUGCGACCCAGUUUGCUCACCAGGUCACGAUAGGUGGUGCCGGCGAGGAACGCGCCGAUGACGUCCAAGUCGAUGACGUUAGGCAGCUCGGUGCGCUGCUUCGAGAAUCGCCGGAUGUAGUCCCGGAGAGACUCUCCCGGCUGCUGGCGGCAGCUUCGGAGAUCCCAGGAGUUCCCAGGGCGCACGUACGUGCCCUAGAAGUUGCCGGCGAAGGCUUGGACCAGGUCGUCCCAGUUGGAGAUCUGCUCCGGAGGCAGAUGCUCCAGCCAGGCUCGAGCGGUGUCGGAGAGGAACAGGGGGAGGUUGCGGAUGAUGAGGUUGUCAUCGUCCGUUCCACCCAGCUGGCAGGCCAGUCGGUAGUCCGCGAGCCACAGUUCCGGCCUCGUCUCCCCCGAGUACUUUGUGAUGGUAGUCGGGGUUCGGAACCGGGUCGGAAACGGCGCCCGUCGUAUGGCCCGGCUGAAAGCCUGCGGACCGGGUGGUUCGGGCGAGGGGCUCCGAUCCUCCCCGCUGUCGUAGCGUCCCCCACGCCUGGGGUGGUAGCCUCGGUGCACCCUCUCGUCGAGGUGGGCUCGACGGUUGCGGUGGUGGUGCUUGUUGCCGAGGCGACCCGGGGCCGCAGGCGCCGUGUUGCGCGUGCGCCCGGUGUGGACCGAGGCUUUCCGCACGAAUCGGGAAGUCGCGGAGCGAUGCUCCGAGGGGUACCCCUGCCUGGCGCGCCAACUGUCAGCGUUUCGACCCCGGGGGUCCCUGGACAGACGAGUAAAUUGUCGCUGCGUGUCCCAGCCCAGAUGGGUCGGCGCGAGACGGAACACAGAGGGGGAAAACGGUAAGGGGAAACCGCGGCCUUUGUGUUGUCCUGCGCCCAGGGCGGAUGGAUGCGCUUGCAAUAGGGGGUUACAAGCGUUCGCGUGGGAGAGAGCGAGAGCGAGAUCCUUAUGCAUCGGCCCGUUCUCCCGCGCGACCAACCUUUUGUACGAGAGCCCUGGACCUUCCUUUUAUAGACGUAAGGAGAGGGCCCAGGUGUACAAUGGGGGGUGUAGCAAUGUGCUAACGUGUCUAGCAGAGAGGAGCUAGUGCCCUAUGUACAUGUCGUCGUGGCUGUCGGAGAGGUGUUGUUGCCCUGUUCAUGUGAUGUCGUGGCCGUCGGAGGAGAGCUGGAGCCCUGCGGAAGUACAGCUGUCGGGGAUGUUAGAUCCUUGCUGACGUCUCCUUGCUGACGUAAGGGGCUGGGAGCUGCCGUCGUCAUGGAGCGUGCGGGGUGCAUCAUUACUUGUUUACUGGGACGAGCCAGAUGGGACGCCGGUCUUGUUCCCCGUAGCCUGAGCUAGCUAGGGGCAGGGUAAUGAUGGCCCCCCUUGUGACGUGGCCGGUCCGGGCCCGAGUUUGGGCGAGGUGGCGAUUCCUCCGAGGUCGAGGUUGAGUCCGAGCCCUGGGGUCGGGCGAGGCGGAGUCCAUCGUCUUCCGGAGCCGAGGCUGAGUUUGAACCCUGGGGUGGGCGAGGCGGAGUCCAUCGUCUUCCGGAGCCGAGGCUGAGUCCGAGCCCUGGGGUCGGGUGAGGCGGAGUUCGUCGUCUUCUAAGUCGUGGUUGAGUCCGAGCCCUGGGGUCGGGCGAGGCGAAGUCCAUCUUCCGAGGCCGAGACGGGGGCCAAACCCUAGGGUCGGGCGAGGCGGAGCUUCCUAUGUCGCCCAAGGCUGGACUUAGCCGCUGUCGACCUCACUCUGGCGAGUGGCACGACAGUCGGAGCAGGGCAGGCGGCGCUGUAUUCGUGUCAGGUCGGUCAGUGGAGCGGCGAAGUGACUGCGGUCACUUUGGCCCUGUCGACUGAAGAGCGCGCGUCAGGACAAGAUGUCAGGCGAUCCUUGCAUUAAAUGCUCCUGCGAUAUGGUCGGUUGGUGUGGCGAUUUGGCCAAGGUUGCUUCUCCGCGAAGCCUACCCGAGCUGUGCCUCGGGCGAGUCGACGGUGCGUCCGUUGCUUGAGGGGAUCCUCGGGCGAGGCGUGAAUCUUCCGGGGUCGGCUGUCUUUGCCCGAGGUCGGGCUCGGGCGAGGCGGGAUCGUGUCCUUUGAGCGGAGCCUUGGCCUGAAUCGCGCCCAUCAGGCCUUCGCAGCUUUGUGCUGAUGGGGUUUACCAGCUGAGAUCAGGAGUCUUGGAGGUACCCCUAAUUAUGGUCCCUGGCAACUAUAUACCCUUUUAUAUGCAAGAUUGUCAUACAAUAUAAAUUUAACGAUAGGUACAAUCAUGAUAAGUUGACAACAACUAGGUAAUGCAUUUGUAAACAAACAUUUUCCACCGACAUGUCACAUAUUUCUGUGCAGUCCUACUAAUUUAUUAAAAAUGUGAUAUCUUUUAGGUCAAAUAAUUUGUUUUAAUAUGUUUAAGUUGAGUUAGGUUCAUAUUAAUUUUGCGUACGUAUUAAUAGCAUUAUUUUAAUUAUGCCACAUGAUUUAAUUAAUUAAUAAUUAAUUAAUUACUUGUUUAAUUAAUGUUAAUUAGCUAGAUAAUGUAGUUAAUCUAAUUUAUAGUUCUAACCUACAUAUUUUACAAAUAAUUGUUAAUUAUUAAUAUCAACUCAAAUAUUUUAAUUAAUACCUGCUUUAUUUAAAUGCACUAUCUGUUAGAUCAUAUGUAUUAUAGAUUUAUUGCGUCUAAAAUAGUGUUUUAUCCAUAAAUUCUUUGUUUUAACACCGAUUUUAAUGGUUCUUGAACCUACGAUUUCGUAGCGACGCGUAAAAUAUCCUUAAUGUUACCAUGCCCAUUAUUUGCUUGAUUGUAUGUAUAGCUACGAGUAGUAGCGAGGUCACGAGGAACCUGAAUACCAAAUUAGAGAAGUACCUGUAGUUAUACCACAAAGGCAAGUUGUGCCCUUGAUCACUCUUCUUUACCCAAUAAUGUUCUCGUUAAUCACUGUGUCAUGAUCACGUUAAUUUGAUGGGACCUAAUAGGUUACCCUAGUUUUGUUUACCCAACACCUUACAAACAAAUGAACUAUUGGGUAGUCUUGCUAUUGCUCUACCUGGUUUUGGGAUUAAUAUUAUAUUUGAAUUAGGAUCAUUUUCCAUUGUUAUUAUGGUUUAAUUUUUAUUCAUGAUAACACCAUUGUGUUAAUUGGAACAUGGCGCUUAACUUGAGGUAACCGUGCUACCACAAAGGUGGAAUGAGACGCCCUUGACUGACUAAUUAGGAAAGCUAGCGGAGGACUACCUUACCCGAAAGGGGCAAGGGCGAUAGAGGAGUUGCCGAUUUAGGGAGGUUCUUAGGUCGAUCAUGAUGCGAUGGCUUUUCGGACGAGGGAUUCCUAUAUCGCUCUUCUCACGAAAUCGUAGCGGGUUUUCUGAAGCUAGUGGAACUUUGUAAAGGUCUUGUAGUGGAUCCCUAGCCAUUCACCUCGGAAGUGUUUAAGGGCCUUUCAAACCCUUGAUGGGAUACACGACUUGUGGGUAAAGGGUGCAACCUCUGCAGAGUGUAACACUGGUAUAUGAGUCGUGCUCACGGUCAAGAGCGACUCAGGACUCUCGCAUGAUUAAUUUAUGAAAUUAAAUUUAAUCUAUCAUUUGCAUUGCAUUAUAGGAUUUAUUAUUAAUUAUGAUCUCUUAUGUUAUUGGGAUGUUAUCUACUUAUACUUAGUAACUGCUAAUAAAAUUUUGACCAACUUGUUAAAAGAAACGCUCAGCCUUAACCAUUCUCUUCGGUAAGCCUUACACUUCACAUGAGCCCCACCGUACGUGAGCUCAUGCACAUUAUUCCCCACAACUUGUUGAGCGAUGAACGUAUGUGAGCUCACCCUUGUUGUACUCACACCCCCAGGUCAAGGAUAGGUACCGCCAAGAUGAGGAGCAUGAAGGAUGUCGCGAUGAGUUCGUGAGAGGUCUAGGCCGUCGUCUCCCAGUCAACUAUGGUUGCGAAGGAUCGUUGUCUGCAUAUGAUGUAACUAUUUAGAUAUUUUGUACAAAACUCCUAUUAUAUAGUAAAGAUGUGA